AGAGUUUGAUCAGUGGCUCAGGAGAACGCUGGCGGCGUGCUUAACACAUGCAAGUCGAACGGAAAGGCCCUGCUUGCAGGGUACUCGAGUGGCGAACGGGUGAGUAACACGUGGGUGAUCUGCCCUGCACUUCGGGAUAAGCCUGGGAAACUGGGGUCUAAUACCGGAUAGGAGCCAUUUUUAGUGUGAUGGUUGGAAAGUUUUUCGGUGUAGGAUGAGCUCGCGGCCUAUCAGCUUGUUGGUGGGGUAAUGGCCUACCAAGGCGGCGACGGGUAGCCGGCCUGAGAGGGUGGACGGCCACAUUGGGACUGAGAUACGGCCCAGACUCCUACGGGAGGCAGCAGUGGGGAAUAUUGCACAAUGGGCGCAAGCCUGAUGCAGCGACGCCGCGUGGGGAUGACGGCCUUCGGGUUGUAAACUCCUUUCGCUAGGGACGAAGCUUUUUGUGACGGUACCUAGAUAAGAAGCACCGGCUAACUACGUG
rnacentral:rRNA from 1 species